GACAGAGGGUGCAAACGUUUGUUCGGAAUUACUGGGCGUAAAGCGCGUGUAGGCGGCUAUGUAAGUCGGGCGUGAAAUCCCACGGCUCAACCGUGGAAGUGCACUCGAAACUGCAUAGCUAGAGUCCUGGAGAGGAAGGUGGAAUGCUUGGUGUAGAGGUGAAAUUCGUAGAUAUCAAGCGGAACACCGGUGGCGAAGGCGGCCUUCUGGACAGUGACUGACGCUGAGACGCGAAAGCGUGGGGAGCAAACAGG
rnacentral:rRNA from 1 species